rnacentral:rRNA from 1 species
CAGCAGCCGCGGUAAUACGGAGGGGGCUAGCGUUGUUCGGAAUUACUGGGCGUAAAGCGCACGUAGGCGGCUUGGUAAGUUAGAGGUGAAAGCCUGGAGCUCAACUCCAGAAUUGCCUUUAAGACUGCCGAGCUAGCAGGUGAGAGAGGUAAGUGGAAUUCCGAGUGUAGAGGUGAAAUUCGUAGAUAUUCGGAAGAACACCAGUGGCGAAGGCGACUCUCUGGUCUGUAACUGACGCUGAGGAGCGAAAGCGUGGGGAGCGAACAGGAUUAGAUACCCCCGUAGUCCCUGUCUCUUAUAC